rnacentral:rRNA from 1 species
CCUACGGGAGGCAGCAGUGGGGAAUAUUGGGCAAUGGGCGCAAGCCUGACCCAGCAACGCCGCGUGAAGGAAGAAGGCUUUCGGGUUGUAAACUUCUUUUGUCAGGGAAGAGUAGAAGACGGUACCUGACGAAUAAGCCACGGCUAACUACGUGCAAGCAGCCGCGGGCAUCCGUAGGUGGCAAGAGUUGUCCGGAUUUACUGGGGGUAAAGUGCGUGUAGCCGGGUUGACAAGUCAGAUGUGAAAUCCUGCGGCUUAACCGCAGAACUGCAUUUGAAACUGUUGAUCUUGAGUACUGGAGAGGCAGAUGGAAUUCCUAGUGUAGCGGUGAAAUGCGUAGAUAGUAGGAGGAACACCAGUGGCGAAGGCGGUCUGCUGGACAGCAACUGACGGUGAGGCGCGAAAGCGUGGGGAGCAAACAGGAUUAGAUACCCCUGUAGUC